rnacentral:rRNA from 1 species
UACAGAGGGGGCAAGCGUUGUUCGGAAUUACUGGGCGUAAAGGGCGCGUAGGCGGCCUUCUAAGUCGAACGUGAAAUCCCCGGGCUCAACCCGGGAACUGCGUCCGAUACUGGGAGGCUUGAAUCCGGGAGAGGGAUGUGGAAUUCCAGGUGUAGCGGUGAAAUGCGUAGAUAUGACAUAGAACACCAAUUGCGAAGGCAGCUCGCUACACAUAUAUUGACUCUGAGGCACGAAAGCGUGGGGAUCAAACAGG